ACCUAGCUUUAUAACAGAUAACAAGCUCUGAACAAGCAUCGGUACAUAAACAAACUGAAUUAAAUAUUAUCUGCUAUAAACAAACCUGCAAUACAAGAGAUAAACGAUGCCUCUGGCUGAAGAGGAAGAGAAAUUUAUUGAAGAAUGUAUUUGACGAAGGAAUCCCUCCACCACCAAUUAUAUCCCCUUGGUAUCCGAAAUUCAGGCAUCGGGAAAGGGGCUUCCAGAGACGGGAUAACAGAAAUUGGGGUGGACAAAACCAUAAGCAUGGCAGAGAAGGCAGAUAUGACCGGAAAUAUAGGCCUUACAAUUAAUUCACUUUUUUUAUUAAAAUAAAUUAACUGAAUCGAA